AGAGGCUUAGGAUAGCAUCCAGACCAAGGGCCUUCAAAGCCCNAAGCGGGAGUGAAAAUCUCCCAGCCCCUG
rnacentral:tRNA from 1 species